rnacentral:rRNA from 1 species
GCUUUGCCUAUAAAAGAAUAACUGCAGUGUUGCUCUCGGAUGCGAUCAUACCAGCACUAA